rnacentral:rRNA from 1 species
CGGGUGAGUAAUGUCUGGGAAACUGCCUGAUGGAGGGGGAUAACUACUGGAAACGGUAGCUAAUACCGCAUAACGUCGCAAGACCAAAGAGGGGGACCUUCGGGCCUCUUGCCAUCGGAUGUGCCCAGAUGGGAUUAGCUAGUAGGUGGGGUAACGGCUCACCUAGGCGACGAUCCCUAGCUGGUCUGAGAGGAUGACCAGCCACACUGGAGCUGAGACACGGCCCAG